UUCCAAUGGUUUGCACUUUUUUAUGGUGAGGAAAAAAAAGCGUGAACAGCAAGAACUAUCUGUCAGAAGCAAUGAAGGCUAAAGAAAUAAUGCUGUUCUGUUAACCAUGUGUUCCUCUUUCUCCUUAUGGAAAGGGAAAUGCUGGAAUGCAUAAUCAACAGCUUGGAGAGAGUGAUGGCUCUGCAAAUUCCCCAGCUCUCUGAAGUCUGGGGGAUAGCUGUGUGCUCUUUGUGGCUAUGGUGGUUUCAACCUGCUGCGCCACUCUGUGCUCUCACCCCCCUUCCUCAAGUGAUAAACACCUAGGAAGGAGAAUAGAAGGAAAAAUCUUUGGUAACAGUUUCCCUAGAAGACACCUGCUGCCUCUGGCAAUUUUGCUCCUUGAAGUGGAUUCUGAGCCAGGUGGAUCUUGCGUGCAGCUGCCCUUGAGGGAUUGUUCCUUCUUCAAUGCAAUUAGCAUUUUUAUGCUGAAAGAGGCAUGCUCUUACUCAAGCCAUGAAUGAGCAACACUAAAUAAAAAAAUCUCAACUAUGCA
rnacentral:lncRNA from 1 species